AUGAUUUGUAUGAAUAUUUACAAAAGAAAUUGGUGUCAGGAAGUUGUUUUAUUAAAGAUGUUUCAGAGUUUUAUAAAAAAUAGUUUUUGUUGCUGUCAACAUAUUCCAUUGGUGAUUCUGUUAUGUGGAUGCUGCUUGUGUGAAAUUGAAGGUGAUUUUUGUUAUAAAAAAAAUAUGAAAGAGUUUUUUUUUGGAAAAAAUUCGACUCAAAGAAAUAAGAUUUUCUAA